UUCAGGAAGAUUGGUUGCAGAAAUGAUUUUUUGAAUGUUGUCUUCAGCAAUGAGAUUAUAGUUAGAAGAACUAUAAAUCUCAGAAUCAAGAUUUCUUGCAAUCAUUCUUGAUCUCCAAUGUCUGAUUUGUUUUUUGAGACUGAAUUUAGUACGAGGCCAAGGGCACUCAGUACCAAACAAUUGAUAUUUUCUUUGAUUGACUUUGAGAAGAAUGAGAUGUUGAGCAAGGUAAACACCUCCAUCAUUAAACCAUUCAGGAGGUUUGCUUUCUAUAAUGAGUUCAACUUAUUUGAAAUCUCUGAUGAAGUCAUUUAAAACACAGAUUGCUAAAUGACUUCAUCAAGAAGAGUGAAGAAAGUGGAGAAGAGAGCAGAGCUUGAGAGAAAAUAUUCAAGAGUGUUCAAAAAAUUUCCUUCUUUGUAAUCUUUUCUUCCAAAAAUAUUAGUCCUUUGUAAUCAUCAGUUUGAGUCAUCCCUUUGCUGUCAACAACUCUCUGUAAUCAAGGUAUAUUUUCAAUACACAAUAUUUUCAGAUUCAUAUAUCUGUGUUUUAAUGUUUAAAUUUCUGCAAUAAAUUUGAAAGAAUUAGACAUUAAAUAUUUCCGUUUUUAUGCUUGGAGAUCAUUAGACAGAAUUAAUUAUUACAUGCAUGAACUGUUGUAUGUCCUGGGUGCAAAUGGUAUCAGAGCCACGUUCUGCUUGAGAACCGAGUAGUGUUACGAGUUGGAACAGUAAUUAAUCACAGAUUUAGUCCUAACUUAGUUUAGGUUGAAUUUCCUGUGAACUGAUUGGUCAGCCUGUGAUAGCGGUGUUUAAGGGCAGAAGGAGCGUAAGUCCCGAGUUGAUUCGCUUGUGGUGGUCCCUAUUCAGGAAAUUAUCUGAAUUGAUUAAGGAUAAAAUUGUGAUUAUUUUCUGUGACGAUGAGUAAUAUUAUGAGGGAAUUAAGUAGAACUAGUUCUUCCAGAUCUCUUAGGUCCCAUGACAGUUCUGCAUCUGUAUUAAAUAAUUCUGCAUAUAAUUUAGAAAGUUCUUCAUAUAAGAUAAUGAGAUUUUCAAAUGCAUCAUCAUCUGCAUCAUUACCUGCUACAUCAUUAGCUGCAUCAUCAUGGAGUCAUCAUAUAAAAUUUAAUAAUUCAAAAUUUAAUGAAGAAUUAAAUCAAAUAGAAAAUCAACUAAAAAAUAGUUCAAACUUUGUUCUUGAAAUUUCUCUUUUUGAAGAAGAGUCUGAGUAAAAAAUUUUCUCUCAUGAUAAACCUCCUUUAAACAUAAAUAUCAUUAGAAAAAGAUACAUUAAAAGAAAUCCUUUUGUUCCUGAAGUAGAAUUAAUUAAAGCAAAUUAUUUUUCUUCUGAAAAUACUGCAAAAAGAAAUUAUUUUCAACAACUUCCUCCUCAAGUUAGAAAUGCAUUAAGAAAACAAUAUGAAAAAUAUAUGCAACAAGUUAAGAUGACUAUUCCUUUUUUCCUUUGGUUUUUCAAAUAUAGGAAACCCCUUAAAAGAAUUGCAACAUUAACUUCAAGAAAAGCAAUAGAAAACUCUCCACAUAAUAAAAAAUUGUUAGAACAACAAAACACAAAUCCAGAAGAGUCAAGUAAAGAAUCAAAAGAAGAGUCAAGUAAAACAAAAUUUAAUCAAAUUUUGUUUUCUUCUACCCCGGGAGAGGUGAAGGAAUCAAAGAUAGAAGAAAAAACAAUAAAAGAAAUUAAUGAAAUACAAAAAAUAGAAAAUAAAGAAAAAACAAAAACAAUAAAUGUAAUAUCGUCAAAAGUAGAUAAGCAAAUAUUUUUUGAUGUUAUAGAUAAAAUUCAAGAUGAAGAAACACAAAAAAACUAUUUAAAAUUUUUUUUAAAUUUAAUUCUCAAUGAAGAUUCAAAUAAAAUUCAAAUCAAACCUACACAAUACUCAAUGGAUGAAAUUUAUAAUAGAUUCAAAAAGACUCAAAGGCCAAUAACCAUUAAAGACUUGGAAGAAGAAAUAAAAGAAAUAAAAAGUCAAAUAAAUCAAUUAAAAUUAGAAAAUGAACAAAUAAAAUUAGAAAACGAAAUAAUAAAACAAGAAAAUGAACAAAUUAGAAAUGUAAUACAAUAUAAACAAGAUUUUGCUGAAACCUCUGACAAUCAAGAUCCAGGAAUAAUAAUACCUAAUAAACAAACUCUUAUAGAAUCAUUUAUAAAUACAAUAACAAAAAUAGAUUUUCAAAGAUGGUAUACAAAUAUAAAACUCAUAGUAGAAGAUUUUGAAAUAGAAAUAGUAGCAUUAAUAGACUCAAGAGCUGAUAUGAAUUGUAUUCAAGAAGGAUUAAUUCCUGUUAAAUAUUAUGAACAAACCGGACAAGAACUUUUUGCUGCAAAUAAAGGAAAAUUAGAAAUAGAAUUUAAACUUCAAAAUGUUCAUAUAUGUCAAAAUAAUUAUUGUUUUAGAACUCAAUUUAUAUUAGUACAAAAUAUGACUGAACCUGUAAUCUUAGGAACUCCUUUUAUUACCUUACUUUACCCUUUUCAAGUAAAUGAUGAAGGUGUCAAAACUACAAUAUUAGGAAAUACUAUAUUUUUCCCUUUUAUAUAUCCAUUAACUAAAAAAGAAAUACAUCAAGUCCAAAGCGAUUCAAUAAAUAAAAGAAUAAAUUUAAUUCAAAGAAAACAAGCUCAUAUAAAUUAUCUAUCAAAAGAAAUUCAAUAUAAAAAGAUAGAAGAACAACUUGUAGAAGAAAAGGUUCAAAAGAGAAUAAAAGAGACUCAAGAUCUUUUUCAAAAAGAAAUUUGUUCUGAUCUUCCAAAUGCUUUUUGGUCCAGAAAGAAACAUGAGAUAAGUCUACCUUACAUUCAAAGCUUUGAUGAAUCUAAAAUUCUUACUAAGGCUAGACCUAUUCAAAUGAAUGAAAAACUUUUAGAAUAUUGUAAACAAGAAAUUGAUUCAUUAUUAAAGAAGAAAUUAAUCAGACCCUCAAAAUCUCCUUGGAGCUGCUCGGCUUUUUAUGUACAAAAUGCUGCUGAGAUAGAAAGAGGAGCACCAAGAUUAGUCAUUAAUUAUAAACCUUUAAAUAAAGUAUUACAAUGGAUAAGAUACCCUAUUCCUAAUAAGCAAGAUUUACUCAAAAGACUACAUAGUUCUGUAAUAUAUUUAAAAUUUGAUAUGAAAUCUGGAUUCUGGCAAGUUCAAAUUAAAGAAGAAGAUAUCUGGAUUUUUAGGACAUGAAAUUUUUUAAGGAAAAACAAAACCGAUUCAAAGGUCAAUAGAAUUUGCUGACAAAUUUCCUGAUGAAAUAAAAGAUAAAAAACAAUUGCAAAGAUUUUUAGGUUGUUUAAAUUAUGUUUCUGAUUACUUCAAAGAUUUGAGAAUCAUUUGUGAACUCUUAAAUAAAAGGCUUAGAAAAUUUGCACCUGCAUGGACUGAGCAUCAUACUAGUCUGGUUAAAGAAAUUAAACAAAGAGUCAAACGUUUACCAUGCAUCAGCAUCCCUCAUCCAAAUGCAUUGCUCAUUAUAGAAUCAGAUGCAUCCAAUUUAGGUUAUGAAGGCAUAUUAAAGCAAAAAUAUAACAAUCAAGUGCAUAUAGUUAGAUAUCAUUCAGGGAUCUGGUUGGGCGCUCAAAUAAAUUAUUCAAUUGUCACAAAAGAAGUUUUAUCCAUAGUUUUAUGUAUUUCAAAAUUUCAAAGUGAUUUGAUAAAUAAAAAAUUCCUUUUGAAAAUUGAUUGCAAAGCUGCAAAAGAUAUUUUACAAAAAGAUGUUAAAAAUUUAGUUUCAAAACAAAUUUUUGCAAGAUGGCAAGCUUUACUUUCAAAUUUUGAUUUUGGAAAUUGAAUUUAUCAAAGGAGAGUUGAAUUCCCUUCCUGACUUCCUUACUCAGGAGUUUUUGCAGGGUAAGGAUCCUUCUCCAUCCCAAUGGGCACUCCCGUUAGGCCUUAACUUCCUUCAUCAUCCAAGAAAACCAAAGCUUCAUAUGCUAUGAUUUCAAACUUUUCAAAUAUUCGUCCUACUUUUCCUUUGCAAACAUCAAAUUCCUUUCAAGUUUUGAGUCCAGAUUUUCCUCCUCUUCAACCUUCAAAAAGUUUUAUUCAAGCUUCUAAAUCAACUCCUAAAAAUAUUGCUGUUCAGAGACAAUCCAGCCCUAACACUAUCUCAACAUUACCUUCUCCUUCUCAGUCUCCUUCUCCUUCCCUUUCUUAUAGUCAAUAUGUCAAAAAACCCAAAACCUUAGAAAUUGCUUUCAUUGAGCCAGAGUUUAAUUAUGAAGAGAUUCCUAAAAUUUUUCCUUACAUCUUUCCUCAAGGAGUCAACUUCAAUUCAAAUGAUCAUUUGAAAACUCGUCAAUUUUAUGAGCUCAUCCUGGUAGACACCGAUUCAGUUGAAAUUACUCAUAACACUGAUAAAAACAAUCCUCAAAGGAUUGCUUUUUCCAAAUGUCAAAUUCUCAGAGUCAUGACCAUUGCUGAUUGGAAUAAAAAACCCUUCACUUGCAAAGCCUUUAGUCAACCUUUUCAUCCAAUGAGCUACAAUUACAUAGAUUAUAUGGAUGCCUGGUAUAAUAUGUUUUAUUUACAAAGCUACCAGCAUUCUUGGUUCAUCCAAUUUUCAAGAAAUUGCAAUAUCAAAUUUCCUGCUUGGUUUCAAAAAUGGUGGAAUUUCUUUGGUCUACUAGACUCAUUAUUUCCUCCUAAAAUUCAAGAAAAAUUCAAUUUCUACAAGAGCAAGACUUCAACUCAGUCUAUCACUCAACCGAGACUUCUAACUUUCUGUUCAAGAUUAAGAAUCCCAUGGAUUCUCUCAUGGAAUAUCAUCAAGAAGCAAGAGCAACCUCCUCCAUUUCCAUUAUCUCUUUCUAGAGAAUUCAGCAUCAAAUGGUGGGACAAAUUCAAUCAUGAUUUUGUAUGUCAACAGAAGAUUUUGCAAUUAAUAUCAACAAGGCCAGGAUCAUCAAAUUCAAAAGAUUCAACUAGUUCUUCUCAAGGACCGACUCAAGAAGAAUUCCUAACUUUGAAAAGCAAAUGUCAAGCUUCAUUAGCAGCCGCUACUGAUUUAGAGCAAUAUCGUCAAAGACUCAUUCAAACCCUCAAGCAGUUUGGAGAUCAAGAAAAUGAAGAAAUUGAGGAUGCAGUUUUAUCGGAUGAUUCAUAUGUAGACCCUCAGUUUAUCCUUUACGGAGGACCUAUGGGUCAGUCUACAUAAAAGAUUUCAACAAUCUUUUGUACAUCUGUAUAUCUGUACAAUCUUCUCUUUGUAUCUAUCCAGUAAAAAAAAAAUGUAGAAAAAAGAAUGUAAUAAGAGAUUGUAAAAAAAAAAAAAAAAAAAAGACAUGAAUAGUACAUGAAUAGUAAAAGGACGUGAAUAGUGGGAUCUGUCUCCCACUUUAAUCUUGGAAGGUAACGUGGAAGCCUUGGGAAAGAAGAGAAUGUCUUUUCUCUUUCUUCCCUCACUCUUUCUUCUGCAGAAGGCUCCACUUGGCCUACAUAUGAUGGAAUUCAAAACUUUCAAAAAUGAAGAUUCAACUCAAGUCUGAAUUCUCUCCUAUAAAUAGAGCUGCAAAUGGCUUCAUCAGGCAGAGUGAAGAAAGGGGAGAAGAGAGCAGAGCUUGAGAGAAAAUAUUCAAGAGUGUUCAAAAAAUUUCCUUCUUUAUAAUCUUUUCUUUUAAAAUAUUAGUCAUUUGUAAUCAUCAGUUUGAGUCAUCCCUCUGCUGUCAACAACUCUCUGUAAUCAAGGUAUAUUUUCAAUAAACAAUAUUUUCAUAUUCAAAUAUCUGUGUUUUAAUGUUUAAAUUUCUGCAAUAAAUUAGAAAGAAUUAGACAUUAAAUAUUUCUGUUUUUAUGCUUGGAGAUCAUUAGACAAAAUUAAUUAUUGUGUGCAUGAACUAUUGUAUGUCCUGGGUGCAAAUGGUAUCAGAGCCACGUUCUACUUGAGAACCGAGUGGUGUUACGAGUUGGAAUAGUAAUUAAUCACAUAUUUAGUCUUGACUUAGUUCGGGUUGAAUUUCCUGUGAACGAAUUGGUCAACCUGUGAUAGCGGUGUUUAAGGGCAGAAGGAGCGUAAGUCCCGUGUUGAUCCGCUUGUGGUGGUCCCUAUUCAGGAAAUUAUCUGAAUUGAUUAAGGAUAAAAUUGUGAUUAUUUUUUUGUGACAAUGAGUAAUAUUAUAAGGAGAUUAAGUAGAGGUAGUUCUUCCAGAUCUCUUAGGUCUAAUAAUAGUUCUGCAUCUUUAUCUCGUGAUUCUGCAUCAUUGACACAAAAUACUGUUAAUAGUCAAGAAAUAAAUAUAGCACAAAUAGAAAAUCAAUUACAUAAUUGGUCAAUUCCUCACAUGAAAAUUAAUACAAUAUAUCAACAAGGAAAUUUUGAAAUAAAUCAAAAUUAUUCAAUAAAAACUGAAGAAAAAACUAUAUCUCUUAAUCAAAAUUUAGAAAGUCUUCAAUUAUUGAGUCAAGACACUAUUAAUCAUCAUAUGAAGAAAUUUAAUUAUAUUCAUAUAGGAUUAGUUCAAGUUGCCAUAAAACCUUUGUUUCGUCUAGGUCUAGAUAUUCCUGUUUUUGUUUGUUUAAGAGACGCUAGGUCAACAAGAUUUACUGAUUCUGUCCUUAGCAUGAUUGAUUUAAACCUUGCCAAUGGUCCCGUUUAUUUUAAUUGUUUUCCAAACUUUUCUAUGAAUAUAAAUGACCCAAGUAUUCUUUCAAGUUUAACCUUAAACAUUAGAACCAAAAAUAUGAAUUUUGUAGAAGAAGCUCAAACUAUAGCAAUAAUUUAUAGGAUAUAUUAUAAAGUCAUGACAACUCAAUUAAAUCCUAGAGCUAUAUGUCAAUCUAUAAAAAAUGAAACAUUAUUAUUACAAUAUAAUCCUAAUAAUACUCAAGCUUUUGUUCCUAAAAAAUUAAAAUGGAAUGAAAUUACUCAAGGAGGUCAAUGGGUUCCAAAACCAAUUAAACCUUUAACAACUCCUUCAAAAAUUAUGCAACAUACAGAUGUACUAUUCAAAUAAAAUUUAAUCCAGCCUCUAGAUAUUCAUUUAAUCAAGAUUUUAUAUCUGCAAGACCUUCUACUUCAAAUCCUAGCUUAAAUGGUGUUGAUUUUACUCUAAAAAUUCCUAUUCCUGUAUAUCAGCAACAAGAAUCUCCUUUUGCUUCACCUACUCAUUUUGAUAUGUAUCCUAAUCAAGUUAAUAUUAUUCACAAGAAAAAUUAUAAAAAUACUCCUUUUACUCCUAAUAUAGAAUGGAUAAAAUCAUAUUAUUUUGCCCCUUAUAAUAAUACCAAAAGAGCUUAUUUUCAAACAUUUCCUCCUCAAACUAGAAAUGCAUUAAGAAAACAAUAUGAAAAAUAUAUGAAUCAAAAGAAAAUUACUAUUCCUUUUUUCUAUUGGUUUUUCAAACUUAAAAAACAAAAAAAACAAAUUACAACUUUAAGAGAUAAAGAAGGACAUGUAUUAGCAAUAAAACAUUCAGAAAAUGUUUAAAAAAGAAUCUUAACAAUAACCUCAGAAUUAGGUUUACAACCACCCUUAAAUAAUCAUCAAUUUAAUUUUGACAAUAAUUCAAUUUCUGCAUCACCCUUCAAAAUUCCAAGAACCAAAAAUGAACAAAGUCCCAUAAUUUAUAAGGAUAUUAGACAAGUUCAACAACAAUUAAAUUAUACAAAUCAUUCUCUUCAACAUUUAAGUCAACAAACAACAACAAUUUCCAAAUUUUUGUUUUCUUCUGCCCCGAGAGGGAAGAUAGGAGAAACAGAAACAUUAACAUCAAAAUCUUCAAAAAUUUCAUCAACUUUAUCAUCAUCAUCAUCAUCUUCUUCUAAAUCUCUAGAACAACCUUUUAUUAUUCCCAUAAAUGCUGCAAAAUCAAAUAUUCAAUUAUCCACACCAACAGAAACAAUGUUAAAAGAAAUACAAAUUAGAUUAGAUAAACUCAAUAUUAAUGGUAUUAAAAAUCAAAUUCAAACUAUAACAAAAGGAAAAUCAGAAAUACAUAAAAUAGAAGAACAAUUUAAAAUGUCUCCGGAUUCAAUAUAAAAACCCAUUGCAACAAUCAAUGCAAUUUCUAGUAAUUUUGUAAGUAGAAAAAAUUAUUAUUCAAAACCCUCGUUUCCUGAUGUUCAACUAGAAGAAAGAAAUUAUCAAUUAGCUGCUAAUUAUGAUGGUAGUAGUUUUUAUGAAUGGAAUAUAGAUGGAAUGAGUGAACAUCAAAUAAUUAAUUUACUUCAUGAAAUGAUGAUGGCUGCUAAUGCUUAUAGAAUCAAGACUAGUAAUUCUGACUUUCUUGCUGCGGGUGCCUUAGUAAUAGGAUUCACUGGGCUACUUAAAGGAUGGUGGGAUCAUUAUUUGAGUCAAAAUGAUAGAGAUUACAUAUUAAAUGCAAAAAAGAUAAUAGUCAAAGAAGAAGGAACGUCAGUUCAAUCUUAUGAAGAAGAUGUUGUCAAUACAUUAAUAUUUGCAAUUACAAAAUAUUUCAUAGGAGAUCCAGUUUAUUUUCAAGAAAGAACUUCUGAAAUCCUUAAUAAUCUUAGAUGUCCAACACUUCAGGAUUUCAAGUGGUAUAAAUAUAUGUUUUUGGUUAAAGUUAUGACAAGACAUGAUUGUGGAAGUCAUUAUUGGAAAGAAAAAUUUAUAUCAGGAUUACUUACUCUAUUUGCAGAAAAGGUUAGACAAAGAAUAAGAAAUAUUCAUAAUGGUAGAAUUCCUUAUGAGUCAUUAACAUAUGGAGAACUAGUUACUUUUGUCAAUAAUGAAGGAUUAGCUCUUGUACAGAUCUCAAAUUAAAGAGUCAAAUGAAAAAGGAAAAACAAGACAGUAAAAAAGAAUUAGGAAAAUUUUGUUCAUAUUAUGGUUAUGAUACAAUAGUUUCCCCUUCUAAAAGAAAAAAUAGGUAAAAUAAAAUAAAAAGUAAAAAAACCAUAUAUAGAGCCAAAAUUUCAAAAGAAGUUUGUAAAAAAUACUCCUAAUAAACCAAAAUCAUCAAAUAAAACAACUUUAAAGAAGAAAACACCAACAUGUUAUAAAUGUGGAAAAGUAGGACAUUACUCAAGAGAUUGUCAAUUAGAAAACAAGAUCAAUUCAUUAAAAAUAAGUGAUAAACUUAAAAAUUUAAUGAUAGGAUUAAUGAUUGAUAAAGAAAAUGAUGAAUCAAGUGAAAAUGAUGAAUCAGAAGAAGAUAAUCAAAUAUUAAUAACACAAAAAAUAUCAAGUGAAGAUUUAAGUCUAGAUAAAGAAUCAGAUAAUCAAAAAGAUUGUGAUGGUAUUUGUGCAUGCUCAUAUAAAUCAAUAAAUGUGAUUUCAAAAUAUUCAAAAUCUCAUCUCAUUAUUCGAAAUUAUGUGCCUCUUAUAAAUUCAAUAUAUUUUCAAUUUUGGUAUGAGAAAGACAAAGAUAUUAGGUAUUUGUUUUAUUCAUCAAAAGAGAUACUAAAAUUUGAAAUUUUUCUACAGAUGGAGCAAGAAAGGAUUACAUUUGGGAAAUUUACUCUUCCAGUAAUUCCUAAAAGUAAUCUGUCAUUCAGGAUUCAUAAAGAUAUAGAAGGAGUAGAUAGAUCACAAAAAUGCAUUUUAGACAACCUUUGGAAUGCAAAAAGUGAUAUUCAAAAGUUGGAAGCUUUAAAUGUCUUAUCUUUUCAUUUUAAACAGUUAAAUGAUAAAUUAGAAAGUUUUUCUAACACUUCAAGUUCUGAUAUACAUUGCAUCCCAAUGGAUACAGAUCUUGAAAAUUUCAUUUGCAGGAAAAAAGCAAAAGAAUCUAAAGAUACAUUUUCAAAAUCCUUUCAAAAUGAAUUUCAAAAAGAAAAAUCAAAUCAAAAUGAAGAUUUAAAACUUUCUGAGGAAAGCCAAGAAUUUCAACUUUCUAGAUUUUCAUUUUUCAAGCAAAAGAAUUUGAAUCUUCCUCAUUACAUUAGACGGAUGAUCAGUGAAAAGGCUAAAGCUACAGGGGAAGCAAAGCAAGAGCAUAUCAUGCAAUUUCUUGCUGAUUGUAGCACUUUUAGAAUUCCUAUUCAAUGGAUGAGCUUUACUUGGAUUUCUCAUUAUGACAACACUUAUAAUAAUUGUCCAAAGACCGAUCCCUUGUAUAAGGAAAUUCCAUUAGAAAGGCAUGACUGUAAGUGUGCUCUUACUUACAGUAUUUGCAAAGCCAAUAUUGAUCUAGACAGUUACAAACCGAUAAUCAUUAAGUUCAAUAAUGAGUCAAUCGAACUAACUCUUUCUCUUCUCAUGGAUUAUGGAAUUCUUUAUCAAUUAAUUUUCUCCAAUCUUGAUCAAACCGAUGGAUUUUGAAGAAAAUUAGCAGUCUGUGUUUUAAAUGACUUCAUCAGAGAUUUCAAAUCAGUUGAACUCAUUAUAGAAAGCAAACCUCCUGAAUGGUUGAAUGAUGGAGGUGUUUACCUUGCUCAACAUCUCAUCCUUUUCAAAGUCAAUCAAAGAAAAUAUCAAUUGUUUGGUAUUGAGUGCCCUUGACCUUAUACUAAAUUCAGUCUCAAAAAACAAAUCAGACAUUGGAGAUCAAGAAUGAUUGCAAGAAAUCUUGAUUCUGAGAUUUAUAUUUCUUCUAACUAUAAUCUCAUUGCUGAAGACAACAUUCAAAAAAUCAUUUCUGCAACCAAUCUUCCUGAAGUCCUUCUUUUUCAAACUCAAUUUACUUAUCUUGUUGAUAAGUACAAAAAGGAAUAUGUCCUUAAGGAAGAAGCCUGAAGAACUUUUGAAAAAUAUCUCUUAGAAAUGCUAGUUAAGAGAUAUCAAGAAUCUUUUGUAAAUCUGUAUCUUUGUAAACUGUUCCCUUGUGUUUAUCCAGUAAAAAAAAAAAAAAAGAUAGAAAAGUAUGUGAAGCCUGAAAGUGUGAAAAGUAUGUAAUGUAAAAAAUAAAAAAUAAAUAAAAGACAUGAAUAGUGCAUGAAUAGUAAAAGGACGUGAAUGGUGGGAUUUGUCUCCCCCUUUAAUCUUGGAAGGUAACGUGGAAGCCUUGGGAAAGAAGAGAAUAUCUCUUCUUUUUCUUCCCUCACUCUUUCUUCUACAGAAGGCUCCACUUGGCCUACAUAUGAUGGAAUUCAAAACUUUCAAAAAUGAAGAUUCAACUCAAGUCCGAAUCCUCUCCUAUAAAUAGAGUUGCAAAUGACUUCAUCAGGCAGAGGGAAGAAGGUGGAGAAUAGAGCAGAGCUUGAGAGAAAAUAUUCAAGAGUGUUCAAAAAAUUUCCUUCUUUGUAAUCUUUUCUUCCAAAAAUAUUAGUCCUUUGUAAUCAUCAGUUUGAGUCAUUCCUCUGCUGUCAACAACUCUCUGUAAUCAAGGUAUAUUUUCAAUAAACAAUAUUUUCAGAUUCAUAUAUUUGUGUUUUAAUGUUUAAAUUUCUACAAUAAAUUAGAAAGAAUUAGACAUUAAAUAUUUCCAUUUUUAUGCUUGGAGAUCAUUAGGCAGAAUUAAUUAUUGCAUGCAUGAACUGUUGUAUGUCCUGGGUGCAAAUGAUAUCAGAGCCACGUUCUGCUUGAGAACCGAGUAGUGUUACGAGUUGGAACAGUAAUUAUAUCANNNNNNNNNNNNNNNNNNNNNNNNNNNNNNNNNNNNNNNNNNNNNNNNNNNNNNNNNNNNNNNNNNNNNNNNNNNNNNNNNNNNNNNNNNNNNNNNNNNNUAAUUAAUGUUCCAACUCGUAACACCACUCGGUUCUCAAGCAGAACGUGGCUCUGAUACCAUUUGCACCCAGGACAUACAACAGUUCAUGGAUGCAAUAAUUAAUUCUGCCUAAUGAUCUCCAAGCAUAAAAACGGAAAUAUUUAAUGUCUAAUUCUUUCUAAUUUAUUGCAGAAAUUUAAACAUUAAAACACAGAUAUAUGAAUCUGAAAAGAAUAUUUUCUCUCAAGCUCUGCUCUCUUCUCCACUUUCUUCACUCUUCCUGAUGAAGCCAUUUGCAACUCUAUUUAUAGGAGCGGAUUCGGACUUGAGUUGAAUCUUCAUUUUUGAAAGUUUUGAAUUCCAUCAUAUGUAGGCCAAGUGGAGCCUUCUGCAGAAGAAAAAAGAGUGAGGGAAGAAAGAGAAGAGAUAUUCUCUUCUUUCCCAAGGCUUCCACGUUACCUUCCAAGAUUAAAGUGGGAGACAAAUCCCACUAUUCACGUCCUUUUACUAUUCAUGCACUAUUCAUGUCUUUUGAUUUUUAUUUUUUUUAUUUUUUACAUUACAUACUUUUCACACUUUCAGGCGGCUUCACAUACUUUUUUUUUUUUUAUUACUGGAUAAACACAAGAGAACAAUUUACAAAGAUACAAAUGUACAAAAGAUUCUUGAUAUCUCUUAACUUAGCAUUUCUAAGAGAUAUUUUUCAAAAGUUCUUCGGGUUUCUUCCUCAAGGACAUAUUCCUUUUUUUACUUAUCAACAAGAUAAAUAAAUUGAGUCUGAAAAAGAAGAGGGACUUCAGGAAGAUUGGUUGCAGAAAUGAUUUUUUGAAUGUUGUCUUCAGCAAUAAGAUUAUAGUUAGAAGAACUAUAAAUCUCAUAAUCAAGAUUUCUUGCAAUCAUUCUUGAUUUCCAAUGUCUGAUUUAUUUUUUGAGACUGAAUUUAGUACAAGGCCAAGGGCACUCUGUACUAAACAAUUGAUAUUUUCUUUAAUUGACUUUGAGAAAGAUGAGAUGUUGAACAAGGUAAACACUUCCAUUAUUAGACCAUUCAGGAGGUUUGCUUUCUAUAAUGAGUUCAACUGAUUUGAAAUCUUUGAUAAAGUCAUUUAAAACACAGACUGCUAAUUUUCUUCCAAAUUCAUCGGUUUGAUCAGGAUUGGAGAAAAUUAGUUGAUAAAGAACUCCAUAAUCCAUGAGCAGAAAAGAAGUUAGUUCGAUUGACUCAUUGUUGAACUUAAUGAUUAUCAGUUUGUAACUGUCUAGGUCAAUAUUGGUUUUGCAAAUACUGUAAGUAAAAGCACACUUACAGUCAUGCCUUUUUAAUGGAAUUUCCUUACACAAGAGAUCGGUCUUUGGACAAUUAUUAUAAGUGUUGUCAUAAUGAAAAAUCCAAGUAAAGUUCAUCCCUUGAAUAGGAGUUCCAAAAGUGCUACAGUUAACAAGAAAUUGCAUGAUAUGCUCUUGCUUUGCUUCCCCUAUAACUUUAGCCUUUUCACUGAUCAUCUGUCUAUGAGGAAGAUUCAAAUUCUUUUGCUUGUUAAUGAUAUUAAAAUAACCAAAAUCUUUGUAAGUGCAUCAAUGUUCAACUUUAUAUUAUUCCCUAACCUUUAAAAUAAUAAAUAUAUUUUAAUAUAAAUGAAAUAGAUAUAAG
rnacentral:lncRNA from 1 species